ACUUCUGGACGGGGCAGAAAGUUGUAGGAGUUUCAUUGGUUGGUUAAAGUUUAUAUUAGUUUUGUGGAAUAGAAGCUUUGUCCCUGCUUCAACAUGGAACUUGGAAGAGUGUAGCCCCAUACUCCAGCACAGUUGGGUUUAUGGCGCCGAGCUGAUGUUACAUCGGCUGGUUGGGGCACCACGACUAACGCUGGUCUCCAACUCGACCCGUCCCCACCGGAGUGACUCCUGCACCUACCCACUCCGGACAGAAAAACAGGCUCACUCCAAUACCAGGAACUCUCCGCAAACAUUUCCAAACACCAAAACCAGAGCUGGUGGACGCGAAGGUCACGAUUCCUUGCACCCGCAGCUGAGUCUACACCAGAUUUACCGCUACAAACAAAACCGUUCCCAUAAUACUAAAUUCAAAAGUUCAACGUCGCUGCAUACGUUCAUUCCGAUCUAGCCACCUCUAGUCCAACUGUGGCAUGUUGUUAUCCCUUGGGCGACACGGAGGCUUCGUCCAUCGGAGGAUCAUAUCCUUUAAUACUUGCACCUGGUGAAAAACUGCUGUAAAUUUUUCAACUGUCCAAAUUGAUGGCUCUGCCUCCUCUAAAUCUUCAUCAUCAUCAUCUUCUGUAGAGGCUUUCAGUAGAUCUUCGAGUUCCUUGUUGGAAUGAAGCACUGGUGGAACCAUUCCAAGAACAAGAUCGCCGUCGCCCAAGCCUUCGUGUUGUGUUGCCAGAAAAC